AGGGAAUCUUCCGCAAUGGACGAAAGUUUGACGGAGCAACGCCGCGUGAGUGAUGAAGGCCUUCGGGUCGUAAAACUCUGUUGUCAGGGAAGAACAAGUACCGGAGUAACUGCCGGUACCUUGACGGUACCUGACCAGAAAGCCACGGCUAACUACGUGCCAGCAGCCGCGGUAAUACGUAGGUGGCAAGCGUUGUCCGGAAUUAUUGGGCGUAAAGCGCGCGCAGGCGGUCCUUUAAGUCUGAUGUGAAAGCCCACGGCUCAACCGUGGAGGGUCAUUGGAAACUGGGGGACUUGAGUGCAGAAGAGGAAAGCGGAAUUCCACGUGUAGCGGUGAAAUGCGUAGAGAUGUGGAGGAACACCAGUGGCGCAGGCGGCUUUCUGGUCUGUAACUGACGCUGAGGCGCGAAAGCGUGGGGAGCAAAC
rnacentral:rRNA from 1 species